rnacentral:piRNA from 1 species
UGAUUUUGGAUUGUGGAUGUACCACAGG